rnacentral:lncRNA from 1 species
UAUAUGUUAGGAUUUGGCUUCUCAAGAUCAUAAAAUCCUCAUUAAGCCCUAGAAGGAAUUGGUGAGUCAUAUCCUUCUCUAUUUUCUUAUUGUAAAUUGGUACACAUGAUGUGCAAAAUUUAUAUUCAGGCUUUUCAAUUUCUAUGUAUUGAUCCCACAAACAUUUGAAUUUAUCGAAAUAAAUGGAAACAGAAUCACUUGCCUGAGUUAAGGUAUUAAUCUCAUACCUUAAUUGGCUGGCUUUAGGGGCAUUCUUCUAUUUGUAUCUUUCUUGAAGCUCUGCCCAAGUUUCAUACGCAGUCUCUUUGUGAAUCAGAGUGGAAGCAAUUUGAGAGCUUACUCCAUUAAUGAUCCAUGAGAGUACCAACCCAUUAACUCCCAAUCUUCAAAUUUAGUCCCUGUUUCAUCAAUUGGUUUAUUUAUUUAUUUUUCCAUUAAUAAAAGCAGUCUUUUUUCUUAAGACUAAAGAAAGCUUCAUGGAAUUUGCCCAAGCAACAUAAUUGGCCUCCCCUUUGAGCUUGUCAACGACCAUUUAGGCACCUGGAUGAUCUUCAGCAGUGACGAAAUAAGGAGAUUUUCUUGAAACUUCUUUCUUUGCAGUAUGAGAUUCCUUUUCAGCAACCACCUUCUUUUUAUUUACAGAUUUCUUGGCUUUCUUUCUUGAAGCCCUAAAAAAUCUUCUUUUGCCUUCAGAACUAGAAGAAUUCGAAGAAGUGUAUUGAUUGUAGGUGUUUCUUGAUGAUGAUUGCGAAUCUUCAGAAUCUCCAAAGUUGUGCAUUGCGGAAUUAAAGUCGACAUUGACAUCGUGACCUACUGAAACCAUAUUAUCUGACGUAGUCGGAGCCGAGGAGACAAUGACGAUAGUAUCGCGAGGAGAACUGGCCGGGAUUGGCCAGACGCGGUGGUGGCAAACGGAUUGGGGAAGAACUUAGGUCUAAACUACUGUAACAGUAGUAGUUAUUUUCA